UCCCCUGCUGUCUAUCCAGAGAUGUACAGUGUGCUGCCAAAAAUACCACUGUACCUACUGUAAAUCUGUUUACAACCAUUUGCAUGAGCUCUGGAAUCAUGUAGCUAAUCACAUGCGAAAUGCAGUUCAAGAAGAAGAAAACUGGCAAGUCACAUUUCACCUGGCCACUGGAAUAUGUCAGUACUGGCAGAUUUUAAGGGUGCCCCUCUGCAGCUUGGAGGAAUUGAUUGUGGGGUAUUCAUGUUGAUGGUAAGUGGUUUUAUAAUUGCUAUGCAGCUGUGUUUGUGUGAUAAACACCACAUUUAUUAAUAAAGUUUUGUUUUUGUUUUUUAGUUUGCACUUCAUGUAACGCUCUCAAAGCCAUUUGAUUUUGCUGCGGUGACUUUGCAUCAAUUUAUGGUUAUUUAUAAAGCAAAAAGGACGGUGAGAAUUUUU